rnacentral:rRNA from 1 species
UUCAAAAAAUUAAGAGCUGACGGAGGAUACCUUGGCAUUUAGAAGCGAUGAAGGACGUGAUUACCAGCGAUAUGCUUCGGGGAGCUGGUAUAUAAGCUACAAUCCGGAGGUUUCCGAAUGAGGCAACUCUUUAAAACUUCUUAUUGAAUCUAUAGAUAGGAAAGAGCGAACCUGGAGAACUGAAACAUCUUAGUAACCAGAGGAAAAAAAAGUAAAAACUAUUCCCUGAGUAGUGGCGAACGAAACGGGACUGAGCCAAAACUUUUUAAUUUUUUUAAGAAGGGUAGCGGGACAGUACUUUACCACCGUCACAGAAAAUCUUUAAUGUAUUAAAUAUAAGAAUUAGCUGAAUUAACUGGAAAGUUGAACCGAAGAAAGUGAUAGUCUUGUAAGCGAAAAUUCUAAGCAAAAAUUCUUUGCACAUAAAACUGUAUCCCAAUUAGCACGAGGCACGUGGAAUCUCGUGUGAAUCUGCGAGGACCACCUCGUAAGGCUAAAUAUUACUAAAUGACCGAUAGUGAAAUAGUACCGUGAGGGAAAGGUGAAAAGAACCCCGGAAGGGGAGUGAAAUAGGACAUGAAACCGUCAGCUUACAAGCAGAAGAAGGACACUACAGUUUGUUUUAACUAUUUGUUUAACUUCGUGCCUGUUGAAGAAUGAGCCGGCGACUUAUAGUUAGUGGCAAAGGUUAAAGUAUUCCGUACUGGAGCCGUAGUGAAAGCGAGCUUGAAAAGAGCGAAAGUCACUAAUUAUGGACCCGAACCCAGAUGAUCUAGCCAUGACCAGGGUGAAGCUUAGGUAACACUAAGUGGAGGCCCGAACCGACUGAUGUUGAAAAAUCAGCGGAUGAGUUGUGGUUAGGGGUGAAAUGCCAAUCGAAUUUGGAGCUAGCUGGUUCUCCCCGAAAUGUGUUUAGGCGCAGCGAUUAAUGUUAUAACUUAGGGGUAAAGCACUGUUUCGGUGCGGGCUGGUAAUUCGGUACCAAAUCGAGGCAAACUCUGAAUACUAAGGAUCUGAAUUAAUCAGUAAGACCAUGGGGGAUAAGCUCCAUUGUCAAGAGGGAAAAAGCCCAGAUCACCAGCUAAGGCCCCUAAAUAUCUACUAAGUGAAAAAGGAGGUGGGAAAAUUUUGACAGCCAGGAGGUUUGCUUAGAAGCAGCAAUCCUUUAAAGAGUGCGUAAUAGCUCACUGGUCUAAUAUUCCUGCGCCGAAAAUGUAUGGGACUUAAGUAGUUUGCCGAAGCUGUGAGAUAUUAGUAGAAGCGUGAGCUAAUCUGCGUCGGUAGAUUUUUAAUAUCGGUAGGGGAGCGUUCUGUUGUAGGUUGAAGCACUAACGAAAGUAAGAUGUGGACGACUCAGAAGUGAGAAUGUCGGCUUGAGUAGCGAAAACAUUGGUGAGAAUCCAAUGCCCCGAAAACCUAAGGUUUCCUAUGAAAGGCUCGUCCGAAUAGGGUAAGUCAGGUCCUAAGGCGAGGCUGAAAAGCGUAGUCGAUGGGUAAUAGGUUAAUAUUCCUAUACCGUUUUUUGCUGGCAAUGAGGGACGGAGACGGCUAGACUAUACUAAGUUUUGGUAGCUAGUUCAAGCAUUCGAGGUGUUGAUAAGUAGAGGAAAUACUUUGAGCCAAGGUGUUAUGAGGACAACAUAGUUGAUGUCAUGCUUCCAAGAAAAGCUUAUACUGCCAUAAGCAAAAAAUGCCUGUACCAUAAACCGACACAGGUGGGUAGGUAGAGUAUACCAAGGGGCGCGAGAUAACCCUCUCUAAGGAACUCGGCAAAAUAACCCCGUAACUUCGGAAGAAGGGGUGCCUUAUACAAUAAGGCUGCAAUAACAAGGCCCAAGCGACUGUUUAUCAAAAACACAGGUCUCCGCAAAGUUGUAAGACAAAGUAUGGGGGCUGACGCCUGCCCAGUGCCGGAAGGUUAAAGAAGUUGGUUAACUCACAGAGUGAAGCUAAUAACUGAAGCCCCGGUGAACGGCGGCCGUAACUAUAACGGUCCUAAGGUAGCGAAAUUCCUUGUCGGGUAAGUUCCGACCCGCACGAAAGGCGUAACGAUUUGGGCACUGUCUCGGAGAGGGACUCGGCGAAAUAGACUUGUCUGUGAAGAUGCGGACUACCUGCACCAGGACAGAAAGACCCUAUGAAGCUUUACUGUAACUUGAAAUUGAUUUCGGACCUUAUUUGUGCAGGAUAUGUGGGAGGCUACGAUAAUUUCUUCUAGCCGUCCGUGAGAUACCACUCUGAUAAUGGUUAGAAAUCUAACUUUAUACCAUAUAUCUGGUUAAAAAACAGUUUCUGGUGGGCAGUUUGACUGGGGCGGUCGCCUCCCAAAAAGUAACGGAGGCGCACAAAGGUUUCCUCAAAUCGGUCAGAAAUCGGUUGAAGAGCGUAAAGGCAUAAGGAAGCUUGACUGCGAGACCUACAAGUCGAGCAGGGACGAAAGUCGGUCUUAGUGAUCUGACGAUAUUGUGUGGAAAAAUCGUCACUCAACGGAUAAAAGUUACUCUAGGGAUAACAGGCUGAUCUCCCCCAAGAGUUCACAUCGACGGGGAGGUUUGGCACCUCGAUGUCGGCUUAUCGCAUCCUGGGGCGGUAGUACGUCCCAAGGGUUGGGCUGUUCGCCCAUAAAAGCGGUACAUGAGCUGGGUUCAGAACGUCGUGAGACAGUUUGGUCCGUAUCCGGUGUAGGCGUUAGAGUAUUGAGAGGAUCUUUCUUUAGUACGAGAGGACCGAGAAGGACAUACCGCUGGUAUACCAGUUAUCAUGCCAAUGGUAAACGCUGGGUAGCUAUGUAUGGAAAGGAUAACCACUGAAAGCAUCUAAGUGGGAAGCCCACCUCAAGAUGAGUGCUCUUUUGUCGGGAGACAGUGAGAUCACGGUGAGACUAACCGUUUGAUAGGUAUUAGGUAUAAGCACAGUAAUGUGUUCAGCUGAAAUAUACUAAUAGA